rnacentral:rRNA from 1 species
UGGGGAAUAUUGCACAAUGGGCGAAAGCCUGAUGCAGCGACGCCGCGUGAGGGAUGACGGCCUUCGGGUUGUAAACCUCUUUCAGCAGGGAAGAAGCGAAAGUGACGGUACCUGCAGAAGAAGCGCCGGCUAACUACGUGCCAGCAGCCGCGGUAAUACGUAGGGCGCAAGCGUUGUCCGGAAUUAUUGGGCGUAAAGAGCUCGUAGGCGGUUAGUCGCGUCUGCUGUGAAAACUCGAGGCUCAACCUCGGGCUUGCAGUGGGUACGGGCUGACUAGAGUGCGGUAGGGGUGACCGGAAUUCCUGGUGUAGCGGUGGAAUGCGCAGAUAUCAGGAGGAACACCGAUGGCGAAGGCAGGUCACUGGGCCGCAACUGACGCUGAGGAGCGAAAGCAUGGGGAGCGAACAGGAUUAGAUACCCUGGUAGUCCAUGCCGUAAACGUUGGGCACUAGGUGUGGGGU